ensembl:ncRNA F28E10.14 ncRNA
AUAAGUCAGCUUCUUCCUCUCGAAUAUAUCAUUGACGGUGAGGAGCUUAUAGCCAGAGACACUUGUGCUCUUUUUUGGAGCCGGAGGAAGGAACAAAACAAGAAAAGUGGUUCCAGUCGUCAAAAAACCGAAUGUUUUUGGUUUUCGUGUCAUCGUUCACUUGGGUAAUUGCUCUUUUCCGUGAGCAAACUAUUUUUUUCUCCGAAAAAACAUAAAGUUAGGCCUCA